AGUGAACGCUGGCGGUAGGCCUAACACAUGCAAGUCGAACGGCAGCACAGUAAGAGCUUGCUCUUACGGGUGGCGAGUGGCGGACGGGUGAGGAAUACAUCGGAAUCUACUUUUUCGUGGGGGAUAACGUAGGGAAACUUACGCUAAUACCGCAUACGACCUACGGUUGAAAGCAGUGGAUCUUCGGACCUUGCGCGAUUGAAUGAGCCGAUGUCGGAUUAGCUAGUUGGCGGGGUAAAGGCCCACCAAGGCGACGAUCCGUAGCUGGUCUGAGAGGAUGAUCAGCCACACUGGAACUGAGACACGGUCCAGACUCCUACGGGAGGCAGCAGUGGGGAAUAUUGGACAAUGGGCGAAAGCAUGAUCCAGCCAUCCCGCGUGGGUGAAGAAGGCCUUCGGGUUGUAAAGCCCUUUUGUUGGGAAAGAAAAGCAGCAGGUUAAUACCCAGCUGUUCUGACGGUACCCAAAGAAUAAGCACCGGCUAACUUCGUG
rnacentral:rRNA from 1 species